AGCUUCUUUACAGUGUUGUCUUGUGGCAUGGAGAUCAAGCAGCAUUGUACAGGGCUAUC
ensembl:miRNA dre-mir-107 microRNA 107